UGAUGCCCCCCUGCAGGAACUUCUCACGGCUCAGCUUUGCCCCUGUAGUAGCAUCUUUUUAUUUAUACUGUACCUGAUUGGCCUUAAAGUGUCAGAGUGUGCUAGUCCUGAUUGAUUAAAGGCAAAACUGCUGAUACCCUGUGGCUUUAUUCUGUCUAGAGCAAAGGCAGUGAAGAUAGUAAAUUCUAUAUUAAUACUCCUCCUCUGCCUUCUCUUCUCACCUUCUGCUCCUCAAAGCCUGGCAGGCUUUUGUGGCAUUUCAGAAGAUUCCCUCUGAUUUGGCUUAGGGUGAAGAAAGCUGUUGAGAUGGUGAAUUUGGAGAGACUGGCAUAAAUGCUCUGGGUGCUCCUGUGCCUUUGCUGGUUCCUUUGUGCAUGGCUACAUCAGUGCUUUCAGAGAAAAGCAGAAUAACAUGAUGAGGGUGGUUUGGGAUGGAAA